rnacentral:piRNA from 1 species
AGUAGAAUGCACUCUAGCCCAGGGU